AGAGGAGGAGAAAGAAGAGGAGGAGGAGGAAGAGAAGGAAGAGGAGGAGAAAGAGGAAGAUGAAGAGCAGGGGGAAGAUUUUGAUUCCCUGUCCCCGUGAGAAUUGCUGAUGACUACUUCUGGACACAGAUAUCAUGCUGAGAACUGUUUAUCAAAAUGAUUUAACAGAAUAUUAAUUUUCAUAGAAGACAUGUCAAUGUUCCUGAGGGCAUGCAGCCCUGGAAAAGAGAGCCAGAUGGCAGAAGCAAGCAGUGUGGAAUGUUCUUACUGAGGAAGACCUUCUCAAAGCUGAUGAUGUAAUAGGUAUGAAGGAGCAUUUCAUGGGAGUCACAGUCCCAUGCACCUGUGUCAGGGCACACAGAGCUCCUAGCCUUGCAUCCUGCGUGAGAUGUGACCUGGAAUAUUCCCUGAUCCCAACAGGGUCCUGGGUUGCAUGGUUCCCCCUCAGUCAUGGUCCUCCCUGUGCCUCAUGGGGUACGCAGCUUCUACGGGCUGAAUUUAUAUCAGUGAUUAACUGGAGCUGGACCACAACCACACCACAGGCAAGCCCUGGGCACUGAGGACAUUAGGAGCAGCAGACAACAUCUCCUCCGCUGCUUCUGACUCUGUUCCACAAGCCAAGGCAGCUCCCACACAGCAGGCAUCCAGCCUAACUCCCAGCAGGGAGAGUGUGAGAUGUCUGUGGAUGAGCCCACAGGGACUACAGGAUUCUGUGGGAAGACAUCUGGUAGCUUCUGGAGCAGCUGCAGCAUCCAGGACACAUGAACUACAGUGGAGUUCAGAUCCUCAGCUGGCCUCAUCACGGACAGUCCCAUGAGGAGUGGGUGUUUGGUUCCUGCUUCCCAGUUAGGGCAGGAACAAGCCCAGACGCAGUGAGUAAGGACAGUGCUUCUGUCUUGACCCAGCUUCCUUGUCCUCCCCCUCCCCCAACUCAUAUCAGGAGCCACCCAGAGACCUUCAUAGGAGUGUGGGUCAUGUUAAUCGGAAUGCACAGCUGGAGAUUAAAUUCUGGGUAAGGUCUCCAUACAGCCCUGGUGGCUCCCACACCCUGCCUACCUAAGUUUUCCCAAUUG
ensembl:lncRNA